AGAGACUGAGAUUAAAAGCCAACCUGGGCAAAAAAACAAGACCCAGUCUCACAAAUAACCAGAACAAAGAGUAGGUAGAGCUGUGCCUAAAGUGGUGUAGCACCUGCCUAGUGCAUAACUCUGACUUCAGACCCUAGUAUCCAAGCAACAAAGAAGUAAGUGGGGGAUAAGAAAGAGUAAUAGAGGAAAUGAAUAUGUUCAAAAUACAUUGUGUUUAUGUGUAGAAAUAUCACAGCAAAGCCCACUGUACAAGUUAUACACACGCAAGAAUUAUGCAUGAUUGUAGAACAAAGUAAAACUAAAACGAGAUAGAUACAUUAGUGUCUAUUUGUAAAAUUAGUUUAGAAUUUGUUCUAAACUGUACAUUUCCUUUUGUGUGGUAUUAGCAGUAUAAUCAUAUAACCACAUAAUCAUACUUGCUCAUCUUCAUGGGCCUUGAACUUGGCCUACAUGCUGUCCUUGAGC